UCUCGGCGUGAACGGAAAGACUUCCGGUGUAAACAAGGAUAUUGGAAAUCCUACUGGUGUGUUCCGAAUGGUAGACCGUGGCGCAACAACGAAGGAAAAGAAAUAGAGUCGCAUUAAUGCGAAUUGUGAAAACGAAACAGGAAGACGCUUAGGCUAUCAUGGAAAAACAGUACUCAGUGGAGUUCUUUGACCUCCUUUGUGGAGCAGCUUCAAGAUGUGUGUCGCAACUACCUCCAGUUCAGUCAGUUUGUGGAGGUCAGUGGCUAUGUGUGUGUGGAGAUCGACAACAUGAAGAAGGAGAGAUACGUCCUGAGUGAACUGCUACAGAGCAGUGGUAAUGUGGUCAGUGAGAGCUACUGUACGAAGUCAUUCAGAACUGCAGAGAACAGAUCAGCCUCCUGGAAUAGUUCAACCCAAGAGAGAAGAGAAAGAGGUGACUUUAGAACUGCUAAAGAUAAGGAAAAUAUAAGUGAGGAUGAAGAUGACACCACCUUUGCCUCACCAUCCCCAGUUGGUGAACAAUACACAUCAGAAGCACACUGUGAUAUGGGAGGACCUGAAGAACGGGUGAUAGUUCCACCCUGUCUGAAACAGCAGUUCAGGACUUCAUCAAACUCGGAGUCCAUGUCCUUUGCAUCGAGGAAUGCUCCUUCAACUUCAGUGGAAUUUGACGAAGAUGAAGUCAUUGACCUGGACGUGUUUGAGAAUGACCUUGAUAUGGAGGAAGAGAACUCACCAGGGUCUUCUGAAACAACUGUUUCAUGCACACUAUCAGUACCUAAAAAGAAGGGAAAGCUCAGCUUGAGUCCUGGAACAUUAGCAAAAGUGAGGAACUCGGUGAAGCAGUUCCAGAGGUUCCACUUUGACAAGUCUGGUGAUGACGUGGACCUGUUUUCUUUGGCCCCUGAGGAUCUCAAUGAACUCCUUCUGGCCUACUUCAAAGAGGGUAAGAAAAGAGGUGGGGGAGAUCUAACUGCAUGUACACUGAACAAUGUUCAGAAGCACCUGCACAUGUAUUUACGCCAUGGAGGCUAUCCCUAUUCUAUUGUCAAGGACAGACCGUUCCAGUCCUCCAGUGACUUCCUCAGAAAGAAGCUGAAUGUAGGAAGAAAGAUUGUCGCCCAGAAACACUCUCCAGUCAAUGAUGAUGACAUAGAGAUCAUGUUCCAAACUGGCCAGUUGGGAAUUCAGAGUCCUGAAAGUUUGAUCCAUACCUUGUGGUUUCUCAAUUCAAAAUAUUUUGGCAUCAGGCGCCCAGCUGAACAUUUUAACUUGAAAUGGGGAGAUAUUCAACUGAAGGUCAAUGACGAGGGCAUGGAAUAUCUUGAAAGGCCAAUUAAUGCAUCGUGUUCAUUGAAGAUUUUUGCCAAGCCUCAUACCCCGAACAGGUGCUUUGUGAACUUCUACAAGCAGUAUCAGCAGUUGAGACCAAAGUUGGCGAUGGAUAAAGAGUGUGCUUUCUACCUGAAGCCUAAUAAGUACUCCGACAUAUGGUUCACAUCCAAGACGGUGAUAUAUUCUUACUUCACAUAUCUGUGGAGGAAACUUGUAAUUAAUGCUGGGUUGUCCAUUGACAAAAAAAUAUUUUAAUGUUGGUGUGUGUUGCAAUCUGAUAGGCUUAAAACUAUUCGAUAGUUUUGAAAGUUAGUAAACAAUAUUGGGUUUUUUAUUGCUGUCAAAUGUUAGCCUUCAUUUGAAGAACAUGGUAAAAGCAGGGCAUCAUGUCAGCAAAGCAUAAUUUUAGAAAUUGAGGAAUUCCCCAAAUAAAAUCAUGUGACAUACUGAGGUUCAUGGAGAAAUGAUCCACUGUUUGCUUGGUAGUGUUCAUCUAGGUGACGUUACAGUCAACUUAUAAACCAACAUAUGUGUGGUAAUUAAUUUGAUGGACCUUUAGCAGAAUAUUUUUCUCUGUAUUUUAUAAACCAGGUGGUUACAUGGACAUUCAGCUACAUGUUAAACAUGUACAAUAUGUUCACAAUGACAAUAUUAUAUAAAAUUAGUGUAACCAUGAGAAGAUAUUUUCAUGUAUCAUGAUUUUCCUACAUAACUCUGAACAAUAAAAUUCUGUCAUUCACUGUA
rnacentral:misc_RNA from 1 species